rnacentral:rRNA from 1 species
UACAGAGGGGGCAAGCGUUGUUCGGAAUUACUGGGCGUAAAGGGCGCGUAGGCGGCCUGUUAAGUCGAACGUGAAAUCCCCGGGCUCAACCCGGGAACUGCGUCCGAUACUGGCAGGCUUGAAUCCGGGAGAGGGAUGUGGAAUUCCAGGUGUAGCGGUGAAAUGCGUAGAUAUCGGGAGGAACACCUGCGGUGUAGACGGCUUACUGGACCGCCACUGACGCUGAGGCACGAAAGCGUGGGUAGCAAACAGG